CAAAAACAUGGCCUUUUGAAUUUAAUUUAAGGUCUGACCUGCCCAGUGAUUUUCAACGGCCGCGGUAUACUGACCGUGCAAAGGUAGCAUAAUCAUUAGUCUUUUAAUAGAGGGCUGGAAUGAAAGGUUUAACGAGGAAUCGACUGUCUCACCUUAUAUGUAUUAAAACUUAAUUUUUCAGUCAAAAAGCUGAAAUUAUAUUGGAAGACGAGAAGACCCUAUAGAUCUUUAUAUAAUAUCAACAUAAUAUUAUUAUAUCAAUGAAUUUUGUUGGUUUUGUAUUUAGUUGGGGUGACAAAAAUAAUAAUUAACUUUUUUAUAACUUAAACAUUGAUUUAUGAAUAUUAGAUCCAUUAUUAUUGAUCAUUAGACUAAGUUACCUUAGGGAUAACAGCGUAAUCCUCUUCCAGAGUUCAUAUUUACAAGAGGGCUUGCGACCUCGAUGUUGGAUUAAGAUAAUAGUUAGGUGCAGCCGCUUAACUUAUAGGUCUGUUCGACCUUUAAAUUCUUACAUGAUCUGAG
rnacentral:rRNA from 1 species